rfam:Triticum aestivum genome assembly, contig: Triticum_aestivum_CS42_TGACv1_scaffold_147602_2BS
UAGGUACUCCCUCCGUCCCGAAUUACUUGUCUUAGAUUUGUCUAGAUACGGUUGUAUCAAGAAAUGUUUUAGUGUUAGAUACAUCCGUAUCAAGACAAGUAAUUUGGGAGGGAGGUAAUAGUUC